rnacentral:rRNA from 1 species
CAGUCGAACGAUGAAGUCCUAGCUUGCUAGGAUGGAUUAGUGGCGCACGGGUGCGUUAUAUAUAGUUAAUCUGCCCUACACAGAGGAACAACAGUUGGAAACGGCUGCUAAUACCUCAUACUCCUAUUUAACAUAAGUUAAAUAGGGAAAGUCUUUUCGGUGUAGGAUGAGACUAUAUCGUAUCAGCUAGUUGGUAAGGUAAUGGCUUACCAAGGCUAUGACGCGUAACUGGUCUGAGAGGAUGAUCAGUCACAUUGGAACUGAGACACGGUCCAAACUCCUACGGGAGGCAGCAGUAAGGAAUAUUGCACAAUGGGGGAAACCCUGACGCAGCAACGCCGCGUGGAGGAUGACACUUUUCGGAGCGUAAACUCCUUUUAUCAGGAAAGAAUAAUGACGGUACCUGAUGAAUAAGCACCGGCUAACUCCGUGCCAGCAGCCGCGGUAAUACGGGGGGUGCAAGCGUUACCCGGAAUCACUGGGCGUAAAGGACGCGUAGGCGGAUUAUCAGGUCUUUUGUGAAAUCUAGUGGCUUAACCACUAAACUGCUUAGGAAACUGAUAGUCUAGAGUAGGGGAGAGGUAGAUGGAAUUCUUGGUGUAGGGGUAAAAUCCGUAGAGAUCAAGAAGAAUACCCAUUGCGAAAGCGAUCUGCUGGAACCUAACUGACGCUGAGGCGUGAAAGCGUGGGUAGCAAACAGGAUUAGAUACCCUGGUAGUCCACGCCCUAAACGAUGUAUACUAGUUGUUGCUUUGCUAGUCAAGGCAGUAAUGCAGCUAACGCAUUAAGUAUACCGCC